AUGCGAGCUUAAGCCGUUAGGUGUAGGCGAAGCGAAAGCGAGUCUGAAUAGGGCGCAUGAGUUAGAUGGAUCAGACCCGAAACCGAGUGAUCUAGGCAUGGCCAGGUUGAAGACAAGGUAACACUUGUUGGAGGACCGAACCCACAUCCGUUGAAAAGGAUCGGGAUGAGCUGUGCCUAGGGGUGAAAGGCCAAUCAAACUCGGAGAUAGCUGGUUCUCUGCGAAAUCUAUUUAGGUAGAGCGUCAUCCGAAUACCCCGGGGGGUAGAGCACUGGAUGGGUAAUGGGGCCCCACAGGCUUACUGAUCCUAACCAAACUCCGAAUACCCGGGAGUACUAGAUGGCAGACACACUGCGGAUGCUAACGUCCGUAGUGGAGAGGGAAACAACCCUGACCUACAGCUAAGGCCCCCAAUUCAUGGCUAAGUGGGAAAGCAGGUGGGACGACCAAAACAACCAGGAGGUUGGCUUAGAAGCAGCCAUCCUUUAAAGAUAGCGUAACAGCUCACUGGUCUAAAUAAGGGUUCCUGCGGCGAAAAUGUAACGGGGCUAAAGAUAUGCACCGAAGCUUAGGGUUGCAGUUUACUGCAGCGGUAGCGGAGCGUUCCGUAGGCGAGUGAAGGCGAAGGGUAACCGACGCUGGACGUAUCGGAAGUGCGAAUGCUGACAUGAGUAGCGACAAACAGGGUGAGAUACCCUGUCGCCGAAAGACCAAGGGUUCCUACGCAAUGCUAAUCAGCGUAGGGUGAGCCGGCCCCUAAGACGAGCCCGAAGGGGGUAGUCGAUGGGAACCACGUUAAUAUUCGUGGGCCUGGAGAUGUGUGACGGAUCGCGGAAGUUGUGAGUCCUUAUUGGAUUGGACUUGCAGCCAAGUGGUUCCAGGAAAUAGCCUCUCCAUAUAGACCGUACCCGAAACCGACACAGGUGGUCAGGUAGAGUAUACCAAGGCGCUUGAGAGAAGUAUCCUGAAGGAACUCGGCAAAUUACCUCCGUAACUUCGGGAGAAGGAGGCCCUAUCAGAAGGCAACUUUUGGUAGGGGGCACAAGCUGGGGGGUAGCGACUGUUUAGCAAAAACACAGGACUCUGCUAAGUCGGCUUCAAGACGACGUAUAGGGUCUGACGCCUGCCCGGUGCCUGAAGGUUAAAAGGAGGGGUGAG
rnacentral:rRNA from 1 species